GCAUAUCAAUAAGCGGAGGAAAAGAAACCAACAGGGAUUGCCUCAGUAACGGCGAGUGAAGCGGCAACAGCCCAGAUUUGAAAUCUGGCUCUCUCGGGAGCCCGAGUUGUAAUCUGCAGAUGGGUCUUCUGGUAGAGCGCCGCCCAAGUUCCCUGGAAUGGGACGCCUUAGAGGGUGAGAGCCCCGUACAGGCGGUCGCCGAGCCUCUGUGAAGCCCAUUCGACGAGUCGAGUAGUUUGGAAAUGCUGCUCUAAUUGCGGGGUAAACCUCCCGUAAGGCUAAAUACCGGCCAGAGACCGAUAGCGCACAAGUAGCGUGAGCGAAAGAUGAAAAGGGCCUUGAACAAGGGCGUUAAAAAGUAUGUGAAAUUGUUAUGGGGGAAGCGCUCGAUGCCAGACUCGGGACGGCUGCUUACCCGGCGUUCUUCGCCGGCGCACUCUGCCGCUCCCGGGCCAGCAUCAGUUCGGCGCGGGGCUUACUGCCUUGGGGAACGUGGCUCCUCCGGGAGUGUUAUAGCCCCUUGGUGACGCCCCGAUGCCGGACUGAGGACCGCGCCUUUUGGCCUGGAUGCUGGCGUAAUGGCCCCUAGCGACCCGUCUUGAAACACGGACCAAGGAGUUGACCUAGCGUGCGAGUGUACGGGUGCAAAGCCCUGGCGCGCAAUGAAAGUGAUCAUGGGUGGGAGCCUUCGGGCGCACCAUCGACCGAUCCUGAAGUUUCUACAGAUGGAUUUGAGUAAGAGCACACUGGGUCUGACCCGAAAGAAGGUGAACUAUGCAUGAAUAGGGUGAAGCCAGAGGAAACUCUGGUGGAGGCUCGCAGCGGUUUCUGACGUGCAAAUCGAUCGUCAAAUUUGUGCAUGGGGGGCGAAAGACCAAUCGAACCUUCUAGUAGCUGGGUUCCUGCCGA
rnacentral:rRNA from 1 species